AUGACUGCUACACACAAUGAAGUGAAGAAAAACCAUUUCUACCUCCAUGAAGUCUUCGGCCGCACCUGGGCUAUUCUGUCACAUCUGUAUGGUGAAGAAGAUCUGAAGCAAAUGGGUCUCAAGGAGGAUUUUUACUGGUCUGCUCCUCCACCAAAGAAAUUCAAGAAGGUCAAGGUUCCUUCCUUGGUGGCCAGCUCAUAUUCUUCAUCACGCGAAACUGAUGAACAUGAAGACUUGGACGACACCGUGGCAGGCCCUACAACAACAAACGACCCCAACAACGCUGGCGCUCCUCCAUCGACUUGA
rnacentral:rRNA from 1 species